rnacentral:misc_RNA from 1 species
GAUGAAGAACGCAGCGAAAUGCGAUACGUAAUGUGAAUUGCAGAAUUCAGUGAAUCAUCGAAUCUUUGAACGCAUAUUGCGCUCUCUGGUAUUCCGGAGAGCAUGCUUGUUUGAGUAUCAGUAAACACCUCAACUCCCUUUUCUUUUUUGAAAUUGGAGCUGGACUUGAGUGAUCCCAACGCUUUCUUCCAAGAAAGUGGCGGGUUGCUUGAAAUGCAGGUGCAGCUGAACUUUUCUCUGAGCUAUAAGCAUAUCUAUUUAGUCUGCCUAAAAAACAGAUUAUUACCUUUGCUGCAGCUAACAUAAAGGAGACUAGUUCUUGUGCUGACUGAUGCAGGAUUCACAGAGACAGCUUCGGCUGACUUUGUAAACUCGAUCUCAAAUCAAGUAAGACUACCCGCUGAACUUAAGCAUAUCAAUAAGCAGAGGA